UGGGGAAUUUUGGACAAUGGGGGCAACCCUGAUCCAGCAAUGCCGCGUGAGUGAAGAAGGCCUUCGGGUUGUAAAGCUCUUUUGUCUGGAAAGAAAUCGCCCGGGCUAAUACCCCUGGGUGGAUGACGGUCCGGAAGAAUAAGCACCGGCUAACUACGUGCCAGCAGCCGCGGUAAUACGUAGGGUGCAAGCGUUAAUCGGAAUUACUGGGCGUAAAGCGUGCGCAGGCGGUUUUUCAAGACCGAUGUGAAAGCCCCGGGCUUACCUGGGAAUGGCAUUGGUGACUGAGAGGCUAGAGUGUGGUCAGAGGGGGGUAGAAUUCCACGUGUAGCAGUGAAAUGCGUAGAGAUGUGGAGGAAUACCGAUGGCGAA
rnacentral:rRNA from 1 species